CCUACGGGUGGCAGCAGUGAGGAAUAUUGGUCAAUGUGCGCUAGCCUGAACCAGCCAAGUCGCGUGAAGGAUGACGGCCCUAUGGGUUGUACACUUCUUUUAUAAGGUAAUAAAGUGAAGUACGUAUACCGCUUUGCAUGUACCUUAUGAAUAAGGAUCGGCUAACUCCGUGCCAGCAGCCGCGGUAAUACGGAGGCUCCGAGCGUUAUCCGGAUUUAUUGGGUUUAAAGGGUGCGUAGGCGGUCCGUUAAGUUAGAGGUGAAAGCCCGAGGCUCAACAUUGGAAUUGCCUUUGAUACUGGUCGGCUAGAGAGUAGUUGAGGUAGGCGGAAUGUAUGGUGUAGCGGUGAAAUGCUUAGAGAUCAUACAGAACACCGAUUGCGAAGGCAGCUUACCAAGCUACUUCUGACGUUGAGGCACGAAAGCGUGGGGAUCAAACAGGAUUAGAUACCCCAGUAGUC
rnacentral:rRNA from 1 species